CCGCAGCUACAGGGGAUGGCAGAAAGCCCGCCCCAAGCGAGCGGGGGCAGCACCAGGGGACGUGUGGCGGCGGCGAUGCAAGUACUGCCUUGCUGGUAGCCAAGCAGCUACUCCCCAUCCUAGGGACGAGAAGAUCCUGACAGGAACCAGGCUUGCCAGCGCUCAUCUGUGCACUCUUCUAACAGUUCUCAGGCUGCAGGCAGUGGCACAUCAAUCAGUUGUGCAUAGAUAAGUUCCCGGCCUCUACUAGUGCAAAGUAUUAAACCACUGAGAAGACAGAACUGAGGUCUCAGUGCAUAAGAAUCUUGAAUUGAAGACCCACAGAGAGAGAAUGUUGCAACAAAAGAUUGAAGGAUUACCAGUUAAUUUACAAGAUUUGCAGGAAGUCAGCCCUGUAGCCACAACUUGCAGAGUUCACUGAGAAUGUUUAUGUUGCUUUUCAGAGUUUUCUACCCUAUAAGCAAUUUGGAGCAAGUGCAUUACUCGUCUGUGUUUUGUAGACCGCUGUGGGAGAUUUGCAGGGCUACAGCGGCUAUUUCUGAUAACCCCAACUCUGUCUCACAUUGUUCGCUUCCCACCUUCCCCUCCUGCAUUUCUCGCUUCCAUGCUUCAGAAAGA